UUUGCAACAAAUAUACUCGGGCCCCAAGCUUGAGUGCUCUGAAGGUUGGCGAGAACAUCACUGUCUCCAAACAAAGUGUGGUGCUGGAUUCACUUCAUGCACAGCCUACUACCAUACGUAACCCCAGGUGCCCUGAGCACAGGCAAGAAUAGUGUACCAUGAUGUGCAGGUUACAGUACUGGCCUCACCUACCUCAGAAGAUAUGCUCCAGUCAAGUGGAUGGCAGGCACACUCCCUGACCACCAGUGACUACACAAUGAUGCUUCUACUUACAACAUUACUAAGAACAGCAGCAGCUAAGGCAGCAUGAACAACACUAUAUUCUCCCUUUUAGAAGGCCUUCAACUAGAAAAUAACUCUUUAUCUGUUCCUGUACUUGAUGAGUAAAUUUCAACCCAAGUCCAACCCAUCGGAGAAGGUGAAGCUCUUUCCCUUUCCUCUGAUGUGAUUAGCAGAGGUAUACAGUCCAGUGUCCUUAAAACAGAGCAAGACAAUUGUACAGAACAUCACUUAAACAUCUAAAAUUGUUUACUUGGCAAUAUGUUAUAAUUUACUAAUGUGCACUUGCUGUUUAUAAUACUAGUAUAAGGAGAUCAGUUAUGUAUUUAUUAAUGUAAGAGGUGGCAUAGAUUUCUGUUUAUACCACAAAAAAAUUUCUGAAAGUUACAAAAAUAUGACUUUUCUCCCAUUCUCCUGUUGCCAUCUUUAGAAAUCAACAACCGGAUUAUUGCUAGAGCUACAAUGUUGCGUACAAAAACCUACUUAAAGUAAGCAGGUCACUACAGAAAAGUAUGCUUGCUGAAUGCUUAGUUUAACUACAAGUACAUUAUUAAAUUUAGUUUCUAAAGCAACCAAUGAAGUGGUUUGUCUUUAGAACUGCGGAAAUAAAGUCUAGAAAAGACCAGGUAUCUUAUUUAAG
rnacentral:lncRNA from 1 species